rnacentral:tRNA from 1 species
GGAUGGAUGUCUGAGCGGUUGAAAGAGUCGGUCUCGAAACCCGAAGUAUUGAUAGGAAUACCGGGGGUUCGAAUCCCUCUCCAUCCGC